AUAACCCUACGGGGGGCAGCAGUGGGGAAUAUUGCACAAUGGGGGAAACCCUGAUGCAGCGACGCCGCGUGAGUGAAGAAGUAUUUCGGUAUGUAAAGCUCUAUCAGCAGGAACGAGACAAGACGGUACCUGACUAAGAAGCCCCGGCUAACUACGUGCCAGCAGCCGCGGUAAUACGGAGGAUGCGAGCGUUAUCCGGAUUUACUGGGUGUAAAGGGAGCGUAGACGGCAGCGCAAGUCUGGAGUGAAAUCCCAUGGCUUAACCAUGGAACUGCUUUGGAAACUGUGCAGCUAUAGU
rnacentral:rRNA from 1 species